GUGAAAAAAAAGCUACCAAAACCAUGUUCUCUGUGUCCAAACUGUUAAAAUUACAUACACGGAUACACUACAUAGGCAUCGACUGGAAAUCACUCGAAGAAGUUACCAAGGCAUUCUCCUGAACAAGGAUUUUGAGAAAGAAGCAUUACUAGCUGGUGAAAUUUUCAAUGACAAUAGAAAAACACCAUUCAGAUAGGGCCUGAACUUGUUCUGCG
rnacentral:misc_RNA from 1 species